AGGACGAACGCUGGCGGCGUGCUUAACACAUGCAAGUCGAGCGAGGCCCCACCUUCGGGUGGGUGUCCUAGCGGCGAACGGGUGAGUAACACGUGGGCAACCUGCCCCUAGCACUGGGAUAACUCCGGGAAACCGGGGCUAAUACCGGAUACGACUUCGGAAGGCAUCUUCUGAAGUGGAAAGGGUUACUGGCUAGGGAUGGGCCCGCGGCCUAUCAGCUUGUUGGUGGGGUAACGGCCUACCAAGGCUCCGACGGGUAGCCGGCCUGAGAGGGCGACCGGGCCACGACUGGGACUGAGACACGGCCCAGACUCUACGGGAGGCAGCAGUGGGGAAUAUUGCACAUGGGCGAAAGCCUGAUGCAGCGACGCCGCGGUGAGGGAUGGACGGCCUUCGGUUGUAAACCUCUUUCAGCAGGGACGAAGCGAAGUGACGGUACUGCAGAGAGCACGACACUACG
rnacentral:rRNA from 1 species